rfam:Erythranthe guttata cultivar DTN x IM62 scaffold_21_contig_4, whole genome shotgun sequence.
GGGUGUAUAAGAGAGCUUCCUUCAGCCCACUCAUGGAUGAGAAUUAGUGGUCGAAUUAGCUGCCGACUCAUUCAUUCAAAUUACUUGGUAGAAAAAUUACGAUCAAUUGUUUUAUGCUACUUCGAUUGACUGAAUGAUGCGGGAGAUAAUUUCUCGCCCCUCCCCCUCCGUACUUGGACUGAAGGGAGCUCCUUUUUCGCCCUUU